CAACAUCCCAAAAUCCUACCUUUGUGCCAAAGAGUCCACUAAUCUGUGUGUGGAAACUCUUGGAGGCAGCUGGGAGGAAAAUCAGACUGUUAUGAUUUAUGAACAGGGAUGCCUUACGUACCUUGUUGAAAUCCUCAUGCAUGGAUUUAAGAUUUUUUUUGGGCACGUUACUGGGAUUUUUAUUAUUGUGGAUGUAGUCCCUCGUGUUGUGUAGAGCCAUCUUGUGCCAGCUGAAUCGAAACAGAGAAACCUCGGUAGUGAACUAAGGUGCAGAGGCAAAAGCAGGCAACUGCACCACCCUCACAGAGCCUCCAGACCACUUCCGAUGUCUUUGCUAGUUCUGAUGCUUCCAGCAGUGAUGGCCAUUAUUUAAGCAUGCUAAAUAAUAAAUAUAUUUAUGAUAAUUGGUUAUAUUGAAUAUAUCAUAUCCUACAACUGCAUUAUGGACUGCUUUAUUAUGACUUUCUGAAUUUCAACUCAGUUGAUUGAGAUUAUUGAUCUGGGAUAUCAACACUGAGUGAAAAUGCACUGUUUAAAGCUAAUAUAACUAAACAUAUAUCGAAAACAAACUGAAUAUCA